rnacentral:rRNA from 1 species
GAUGAACGCUGGCGGCGUGCCUAAUACAUGCAAGUCGAGCGAACGGACGAGAAGCUUGCUUCUCUGAUGUUAGCGGCGGACGGGUGAGUAACACGUGGAUAACCUACCUAUAAGACUGGGAUAACUUCGGGAAACCGGAGCUAAUACCGGAUAAUAUUUUGAACCGCAUGGUUCAAAAGUGAAAGACGGUCUUGCUGUCACUUAUAGAUGGAUCCGCGCUGCAUUAGCUAGUUGGUAAGGUAACGGCUUACCAAGGCAACGAUGCAUAGCCGACCUGAGAGGGGGACCGGCCAACCUGGAACUGAGACACGGGCCAGAAUCCGACGGGGGGCAGGCGGAGGGAAUUUCCCCAAAAGGGAGAAAGGCUGAAGGGGCAACGCCGCGUGGGUGAAGGAGGUUUUCGGAUUGGAAAACUCUUUUAUUGGGGAAAAACAUAUGGGUAAGGAACUGGGCCACUUUUGACGGGACCUAAACAAAAAGCCACGGGUAAACACG